rnacentral:rRNA from 1 species
UGGUUUGAUUCUGGCUCAGGAUGAACGCUAGCUACAGGCUUAACACAUGCAAGUCGAGGGGCAGCAUUUUAGUUUGCUUGCAAACUAAAGAUGGCGACCGGCGCACGGGUGAGUAACACGUAUCCAACCUGCCGAUAACUCGGGGAUAGCCUUUCGAAAGAAAGAUUAAUAUCCGAUAGUAUAUUAAAACCGCAUGGUUUUACUAUUAAAGAAUUUCGGUUAUCGAUGGGGAUGCGUUCCAUUAGUCUGUUGGCGGGGUAACGGCCCACCAAGACUACGAUGGAUAGGGGUUCUGAGAGGAAGGUCCCCCACACUGGAACUGAGACACGGUCCAAACUCCUACGGGAGGCAGCAGUGAGGAAUAUUGGUCAAUGGACGAGAGUCUGAACCAGCCAAGUAGCGUGAAGGAUGACUGCCCUAUGGGUUGUAAACUUCUUUUAUAUGGGAAUAAAGUAUUCCACGUGUGGGAUUUUGUAUGUACCAUAUGAAUAAGGAUCGGCUAACUCCGUGCCAGCAGCCGCGGUAAUACGGAGGAUCCGAGCGUUAUCCGGAUUUAUUGGGUUUAAAGGGAGCGUAGGUGGAUUGUUAAGUCAGUUGUGAAAGUUUGCGGCUCAACCGUAAAAUUGCAGUUGAAACUGGCAGUCUUGAGUACAGUAGAGGUGGGCGGAAUUCGUGGUGUAGCGGUGAAAUGCUUAGAUAUCACGAAGAACUCCGAUUGCGAAGGCAGCUCACUAGACUGCAACUGACACUGAUGCUCGAAAGUGUGGGUAUCAAACAGGAUUAGAUACCCUGGUAGUCCACACAGUAAACGAUGAUUACUCGCUGUUUGCGAUAUACAGUAAGCGGCCAAGCGAAAGCAUUAAGUAUUCCACCUGGGGAGUACGCCGGCAACGGUGAAACUCAAAGGAAUUGACGGGGGCCCGCACAAGCGGAGGAACAUGUGGUUUAAUUCGAUGAUACGCGAGGAACCUUACCCGGGCUUAAAUUGCAUUUGAAUAAUCUGGAAACAGGUUAGCCGCAAGGCAAAUGUGAAGGUGCUGCAUGGUUGUCGUCAGCUCGUGCCGUGAGGUGUCGGCUUAAGUGCCAUAACGAGCGCAACCCUUAUCUUUAGUUACUAACAGGUCAUGCUGAGGACUCUAGAGAGACUGCCGUCGUAAGAUAUGAGGAAGGUGGGGAUGACGUCAAAUCAGCACGGCCCUUACGUCCGGGGCUACACACGUGUUACAAUGGGGGGUACAGAAGGCAGCUACCUGGUGACAGGAUGCUAAUCCCAAAAACCUCUCUCAGUUCGGAUCGAAGUCUGCAACCCGACUUCGUGAAGCUGGAUUCGCUAGUAAUCGCGCAUCAGCCAUGGCGCGGUGAAUACGUUCCCGGGCCUUGUACACACCGCCCGUCAAGCCAUGAAAGCCGGGGGUACCUGAAGUACGUAACCGCAAGGAGCGUCCUAGGGUAAAACUGGUAAUUGGGGCUAAGUCGUAAAAAGGUAGCC